rnacentral:rRNA from 1 species
UACAGAGGGUGCGAGCGUUAAUCGGAAUUACUGGGCGUAAAGCGUGCGUAGACGGUUAUUUAAGUCGGGUGUGAAAGCCCCGGGCUCAACCUGGGAAUUGCAUUCGAGACUGAAUAGCUAGGGUACGGUAGAGGGAAGUGGAACUUCCGGUGUAGCGGUGAAAUGCGUAGAUAUCUGGAGGAACACCGGUGGCGAAGGCGGCAUCCUGGACCGGCAUUGACGCUGAGGAGCGAAAGCCAGGGGAGCAAACGGG